rnacentral:SRP_RNA from 1 species
GGGGCAACUUCUUCUCCCGCACUCGUGCGAGUAGUCCACGACCGGCUGUCGGUGCGCUAAGCCCUGGCCCGUACCCUCGAGGGAAGCGAUUCUGCAGAGACCGGGCCCCCCGGCGAUGGCGGCACCAGAUCACACCGCCGCUGCACACCCACCGCGCU